UGGUGGCGAGGCAAGAGAGAUGGCCACUGGUGUAGGCUCUUCUCCCUCUCCUAUUCGUGAUUUCGUCCAAAUCGAAAGUUCUUGUUCUUGAAUCGAAAGGGAUUGGCCUUGAAUCAAAGGUUCUUCUCAUGAAUUGAAAGAUUUUCUCUCAAUUUUGGAGGUUAUCCCAGCCUCUCUCGCCUAAUCCAAAUCCCCUUUCCCGAGUUCUGCCACCACACCCCAGCCUCCGGCCACCAUGCUGUGCGCAGGACAAUGCCUGAGCCUUAGCUCUACCGCCAUGGAUGAGGAAGCGAAGCCCGGCCCUAACACCGACGCCAACACCACUGACAUCGCCACCGCUCUCAGGCUCGGGCUCGGAGAUGGUGGAGGGGGAGGCGAAUUAGGAGAGGUUGGUGGAUCUGGUGGGUGAGAUCGCGACUAUUUCGGACUUCAGGAACGCGUACCGGAGGCAGUUCUACAACCUGUCGUGGCGGAUACGGUUGUUGGCGGCCAUGUUGGAGGAGGCCAAGGAGGCGUCCAUGACUCUGCCUACGGCGUCGGAGGCCACGCUCCGGCGUCUCAAGGAGGUGCUCGACAGCGCCGGGGAGCUGCUCCGGUUCGGCAGCAGCGGUAGCAAGAUCUUCGUGGUGGGAUUUCUCGGUUAAAGCUUGUAGCUUUGUUGCCUUGCUUAGGCCCUGCAACUUCAAUUUCUUCUGUUUACUGCUUUUCACAUUAAAUUAGGGCUCUGUUGUGGAGGUAAGAGAAUUUGCUUGACAAAUCGUUGAGAAAUUCUGCGGAGCUAACACUUCCAAUUGCACACACCGUAAUAAUCUGUUGCCUCUUAUGUAGAGUAAUUUGUUGUCAUCGGAAGUGUGAAUUAGCUUGAUACUUUAUCAAGGUUGGACUAGUUCUUGAAUGCGCAACUUCUCUGCGGGUGCAUUGCAAACGGUUUUUAUGGGGUCAAUUGACACUUGAUUUAGUAACGUGGCUCUGCUACUAGACGAAUGCAUGCAUGGCUCUGCCACUGGACGAAUGAAUUAUGAUGGGUUAACUUGAUUGGAGCACAUACUGCUCCUUUGAAUCCGGUUGUUUAUUGUGAUUAACUUCAUUUUAUGUUCUGCCAUAUACAAAUGGAUAGCUUCGAAUGAGAUUCAGUUAUGGUUGACUCCCGCCUUCCACCCAAAUCUACAGAUAAGGAGUUUACAUUUUGCAUUGUCAAAUUAUUUAGUGCAAAGAGUUAUCCAUAUUUAAUUAUGCACAGAAAAGAUUUAUUGGUUAAAAAGACCCGCUAUUUUCCCUUUUCUAAUUUUUUUCAUUCCCAUUGUGCUGCAGCAUGUAGCAUUGAAACAAUAGCUAAAAUUGCUCCAAAAUAAGGAACUGCAACAAACCAAAAUUGCUCCAAAAUAUGGUAUGCAGUGUUCUCUUGGCAUCAUCAAUUAUCCUAAAAUUGCUCCAACCUUUCAUGUAUCAUGUGGCAUAUCAGAAAUGAUAAAUGGUAAGAUAAUUGAAAUGGUUAUUCAAUUGUCAACUCUUGAAGAGAAAGUAAGCAGGUGUGUGAUUUUAGUCGUCUAUAUAGCAUCCUUUUUAGUCAAUAAAUUUAUUGCACUUGAGGGUUCAAAUAUGUCAUAGACUAGGUGUCUAUUAAAAAAAAGUGAAGAGAAGAAGAGAACACCAUAUUUGGUUGAACAGACAAUUAACUUCACUUAAAAAAACAGAGGCAAAUUAAAUUCUAGAUAAACUUCCGAGUGCAAUGGCGGAAGUUAUUGUGGUGCUUGGGUUGGUUUGUUUUUCUGCAACCUUGGUGUAGCAGUUAUCUUGCACAUGAAGACUAUUACCUUCCUUAAGAAAUUGGUAAUAAAGAGAAUUGCUUGUGAUCUUUUGCGUGGUGGGACUGUGCAGGAAUGCUACUCAAGAAGUUGUCCACUUGCAGGAACGUUGAGAAGCUCACGUAAUGUAGUAUUGUUUGUACCUUUUUUUAUAUAUAUAUUUCCUUUACUUGUCCUUAACUAAAACUUUCAGCUACGAUCCUUUCUCAGUUACAGAGAUCCAUGCUGUAUCUAUCGAUCUGUAGCUACUGUUGUGUGCAGCCGAUGCAGAAUCCUGCGGCUCCGAUGCCUGCCAGGGAGAAGGAGGAAGAUGCUGGGUGGAGCUUUCCGGACCUCUCCGAUGCCUGCCAGGGAGGAGGACGAUGCUGGGUGGAGCUUUUCCGUACCUCUGUGCGGCUGACAUCGCUGACGGUUGGCCAAGAUGGGGAUGAGCUCCUGAAGGCCUUGUUAGCCGCCCAGCCACGAGACGGCGAAGUGGUGGCCCACACUGACAGUGACCUCGUGGUUGUCAGAUUGUUCUCACGGAUGUAUAGCUCUAGCGGGUUGGAGUACCAGAACUCGUCCGGGGACACGAACACCUCCAUGACUGCAUGGUAGGUGCUCAAUGGAAUGCUCAAACCUCCGCAUCCAAGUGGAUCCCUUCCGCCAACUCCUGGAGGAUCCUGUCCCACCCGUUGCUGUACCCAGAAGGCUUCGCCUGCUGCCUACAUGGUGCCAUCUAAGGAUUCAAUGCCCCACAAAGUGCAACCACCGCUCCUCCUCCCUGACCGGGGAGGUGCCUCUCUCCUCUCUCGCCACCUGCACCUGAUUCUGCUUACUCCCAGGAUAACAAGGCCAAGAUGUCUAGCAGCAUAGGGGCGUGGACGGGAUGGCAGCGAGUCUCCAUUACUGGGAGCGCUCCAAGCACUGCGGCAUCACUCCAUGAUUUGUUGGUAUGAACUCGAGACCAUGUUCAUAUGCAGAUCCAUGUGAAAGGUGUUGAUCCAUAUUGCAGGUGGAUAUGAUGCAUGUUCGAAGUAUUGGACAAAAUCAAUGUGCAGUUUCUAUCGUUGUGAGUGUGUAUUAGCUUGAUCCUCUUCUGAUCACUUUGACCCAUUUUUUCUACAUUGGAUUCAUGUUCGAUUAGAGUGGGAUGCAAAGAAUAAUGAACCACCUUGAUUGAUGCUACCUUAUUGAUACAUCAUUGACAGUUCAGUCUUGUGAAAGACGUGAAAGGGAGGUUGGGUGUAAGAUUUCAGAGUUUUUGCGAGGCAGAGUAGAGAGGAGGGGAAGAUGUGACUGCGACCAUGUGAGACAUGGAUUUGAUGAAUGCCAUUGGAUUAAGUUUUAUAUGAAAAUUCAAGAACCAAAGUGUUGUCUCUAAUGUCACUUUUUAUUCACUUGUUUGGGAAAAAUAAAUAGAAAUUAAGUGUCAGAUUCAAAAACCAUUGCAAUGCAUUGGUAUCGUACUAAUAUAUAUAUACUCUAUUGUUGAGAUGACCGGAUCUAGUCCAAGUGUGGCCGAAUUUGAAGGACCAAAUGGGCUAUCCAUGGAAGGCCUUCGUUUGUACCCGAGCCUCCUCCUACAUGUUACGCGGCAAGUUCUCGCGACUUCUAUGGUUCUACCCCGAGACGGCGGCGGAUGGCAUCAGCGUCGGGGGCUCCCCUGGCGGCGGAGGCACUCUGCAGUGGCCGCAUCCUCUCCAGCCGCCUGUUCCUCGAUGUCCCCAGCUCCAAGGUUGGCCCACCCCAACGUUGAGGUCGAUCUGGACUCCAUGGAUGGGGGCGAAGAAGACAAAGCACUCAUUGGCGAUGGUGAGGUCGUCCCUGACUCCGUGGACGAGGGCAACAGAGAUGAAGCUCUCAUCGGCGAGGUUGUUCCAGACUCGGACAAAGACGAGGAAGAAUAGUACGUUGGCGCAAACGCCGACGAGGAUGUGGCAAUUGAAGGUGAACAAGACGUA